rnacentral:lncRNA from 10 species
CAUUGUUCUAAGAUACGUAAGUGAACAAAACCCAUGACACCCUCGUCUAUGAGAGCUGAUCCUCUGGCAGGGACAGACAGGUCAUGAGUGGAGUGAUGGAGCAGCUGGCCUGGUGACUUAGCCGCCUUCAGGUACAGUAGGAGGAGCAAGCCCAGGACAGUCUAGCCAGGCACGGUGGCUCACACCUGUAAUCCUAACACUUGGAAGGCUGAGGUAGGAGGACUGCUUGAUCCUAGGAGGCAGAGGUUGCAAGGAGCCGAAAUUGUGCCACUGUACUCCAGCCUGGGCAACAUAGCAAGACCCUGUCAUUCAUAGUCUGGAGGCUGGGAAGUUCAAGAUCAAAGUGCCAGCAGAUUCAGUGUCAUGUGAGGACGUGCUUCCUGCUUCAUAGAUAAGAGGCCACACCCCCCUGUCCCAGUGCACUGGGGCUGUGGAUCCCUUCAAAGCUGAGAUUGCCUGUCUGUGGUCUCCAGCGUUAAGCACAGUCAUUAGCUCAGUUGGAGCUCGGCGGCACAACCAGCACCAUCUGGUCGCGAUGGUGGACACGGAAAGCCCACUCUGC